UACGUAGGUCCCGAGCGUUGUCCGGAUUUAUUGGGCGUAAAGCGAGCGCAGGUGGUUUAUUAAGUCUGGUGUAAAAGGCAGUGGCUCAACCAUUGUAUGCAUUGGAAACUGGUAGACUCGAGUGCAGGAGAGGAGAGUGGAAUUCCAUGUGUAGCGGUGAAAUGCGUAGAUAUAUGGAGGAACACCGGUGGCGAAAGCGGCUCUCUGGCCUGUAACUGACACUGAGGCUCGGAAGCGUGGGGAGCAAACAGG
rnacentral:rRNA from 1 species